UACUUUCCAAUUGUCUGAUUUUUGUGUGGAAAUACUUGGCUAUUGAAAUUUAUGCAAUCUCUUCGUUGAAUUCGUUUCAACAAACCACGUUGCUGCCACUGCCUGGUUGAAGCUAACGUUAUCUCUAGAAUGAAAAGAAUUGGGAAGCCCUGGAUUCUUUGGGUAACUUGGCUGUAGGGGCCUUGCUAGGACAUCUGCCUGUCCAUCUUUUCCUGCUCCCAACAUCCCAUCCCAUCCCCAUGUGGCCCAAAAGAAGAAUCCAGGGCAGAGCUAUGGCUUGAGUCUCAGUUUCUGGGGACUUCCAGUGGAAGAGAGAGACUAGGUGGCGGAUGGCAGCAUAAUUAGUCAGAUAUUAUUUUGCAGAAUUGACCUCUGAAGAUGCUGUGAAUAUACUCAAGUACAGUGGACACUAGGGUUGCGAACGUGAUCUGUGCAGGAUGCACGUUCGCAACCCGCAGCAUUCAAAACCCUCAGCAGUGCAUCUGCGCACGCGCAGGUUGUGAUUUGGGGCUUAUGCGCAAAGUGUGAUUUAGCGCUUCUGCGCAUGCACGGCCGCUGAAACCCAGAAGUAACCUGUUCCGGUACUUUUGGGUUUUGGCACGUCCAUAACCUGAAAAAACGCAACCUGAAGUGUCUGUAACCCGAGAUAUGACUGUAUAUUACAAAUUACCAUUUUUAAUGUGAUCAAUCAUAAGCUGAAUGAACGACUGAAUGUUUGAAUGGAUGAUCGCCAUCAGUAGCCAUCAAUAGCUUUCAGCAGUAGGAGCAGAGUUAUCUCAGAUAAACAGGACAUUGCCUUUGAGAAACCAAGAGGUGAGCUACCUUCCUUGGGUGUUAUGAAUUAACAAGGCAUGAAUUGGCCGAGGCUGCAUAGUCAGGUCUGGAGAGCCCUGUAAUCAUGAUAUCAGCUGGCCUGUCAUGCAACUUCUGGAAGAGUAAAUGGAGAAAGAGGUCUGGAGGACUGAACAACUAGACGCAGGAAAGUUGUAAGAGUUUUGGAUGUAAGACUGUUUUGGGUGAAAACUCCUGCAACAUCCCAAGGAACAGUCCAUCAUUGCGCUGCUCCAAACACUGGAUUACAAGCCUGGUCUGCAGAGCAUGUGUGACUGUUUUGUGUGGUUGACCAGAUGAAUUUAUUUUUUUAAUUGAAAACUGGUACCACUGCCUUGUUCACUGGUCAUCAGCCCCUACUCAGUCUUGGUCUACAUUCAUGGCAUUGAGAUCCAAUUGUGUUUUCCCACCAGCUGCUUAUAUAAAAAGUCUUUCCCUUUUUCUGUUGCCUCAUGUGCCUCCAAAAUCUGUCCUGGAAGGGUGGGGGGGGGUGCUUUGAAGCAGAUUUGGGGGCAGCGGGGAAAAGAAGAGGGGAAGUCUCAUUGUAGGAUCAGAUGUUUGCUUGCAUGAUGUUGGUUAUCGUUCAGUUUGUUUGUUAUAUUUCUUUAUAUCCAAAGCAGUUCACAAAAAUAUGCAAUGAAACAUGAUAGGAAAAUUAGAAGGAUGGAGCAAGAGAAAACCGCCUUUUAAAAAAUUGUAAUAAAGGCAGGCACAGCUGACAAGAAACACAUCAGCCAGCAAUCGCCCGUUUAAAAUCCUGGCUAAAUGAAAAACGAUAGAUUGGUGCCAACCAAACCUGCUUGGGGAGGCAUUAUAAUAACUAGGGCAGCACUGAUAAGAAAGGUCUCUGCUCAGCUCCCACCCACAUAACUUUUGGUGUGCUCAUAUGUACCUUUUGCUAUCCUAUAUAUUAAUAGCUGCCAUUUACUCUCUGGAGGGAAGUAAAACACUGGUUGUGGUGCACACUGGGUAACGCUGCAGAGCCUUGCAGCAUGUUAAUUGCAUCCCUCCAAAGGGCAAGUGCUCUGAGCACACAGGCUCCACCUGACGUAAUAGCAGACACCUUUUUCAUUUCUGCUUACCCAGGUGCCCACAAAAAGGUACAAACCAUUCCCAUGUGUAAGUAGCCUUGAGUUAUACUGAGGCUUAGAAGUGGAGCAGGCAUUUCACCAGGACACACAGUUCCCUUGCCAGACACCACAGACUCACGGGGCUUAAAACAUGAUCGUUAACAGUAGGAAGUUUAUAGAAAGUUAAUCGCAGAGAGAGCGCUAGUCCAACAGUUCUUAAAAGGCCUUGAAUGCGGAUUCAGCUGUCACGUGGGCAGCAAGGUCGAUAAGACAUUUGAAGGCCUAGUUAAAGAAAGAUGCAAAAUGUUUUUCCCCCAGUAAGUAUUUCAGGAACAAAUGCCUGAUUAAAAGAAGCAACAUCUGGAUCCCGUGAAGAUGUUCUAUCGAGUAUAUUCAGGAUUGUCUGUCAUGGGUGUUGAUUGCUAAAUAAUUAGAAAGCAAUGAAAACUCAAGUCCGCUGUCCCUCAGAAGACUGUAGAUACCUUUGAUUGCCAACAUGUAAACUUGGAAGCAUUACAAGAGCUCUGCUGAAUCAGAUCAGGUGCCCAACUAGACUAGGAUCCUGUUUCCCCCAGCUGCCAAUGAGAUACUUAUCAGAAGGUCACAGGCACGGCAUAAGGUCUGGGGUCCUCUCCUGUUGUUGUACCCAGCAACUGGAAUGCAGUGGGAUGUGUCCUCUCAACCUGGAACUUCAGACCUGCUGAUGAAUCUACCUUUCAUGAAUUUGUCUAAUCCCCUUUAAAGCUGUUGACGUUCCCUAACAUUAUGGGGGUCAGAUUUCUAAGAGAAAGGCUAUUUUUUUUUACUUCUGCUGUUGCUUGAUAAAUAAGUUAUUCAUUAUCUAGUUUGUUCUUUGUCUGUACCUGUUUCAUUUCAUACUAACAAAAUUGUGUAUGUAGUGAAUUUUCCAUGAAAAAGAACCCCUUUUUUGAAGCAGUAAUCCCCAAUUCUCCAGUUAAUUUUUUGCAGUUGGCUAGCAAAAUUGCAUGUGUUUUGCUAGCCAAAUCGCAGUAAAGGACUGUAUGUGUGAGAAGCAGUAAUGAGAUUAAUUUUGGUCAAUUAGAUGAUCCUCUAUAAGACUUAAACAUCUGUAUGUGCAGUGCUUUUUUAACAAAUGCGUCUUCAAAGCCCUUUUUGUGAUAUUUGGCUAUUAAUCUACGCCCCAUUUUCUGCAGUGCCUAACUUAUUUCAGGCAUUUCUUGGAGCAUGUGCAUUUUUGAAGCGUGUGGAGAAAGCAGCCGCCAAAUUGAGCUCCAAGUGGAAUAGCAGGUUGUUGUCGUUCUGUCUGCAGCGCUUGCAUCUUGGCCAUUGAUUUGCAGAAUUGAAUCUGAAGUAAUCCAAUUAAGCGAGGAAAGAAUUACAUGACAAGCUUUGCCAUCUAGAUUUGCUUAUCUCAAAAGAGAGUCUGAGGACUCCCGGUGAUCAACGAAAGCAAGUGCAAAAGUGGUUGAUUAAUUUCCUUUUUGCUCUUAUUGUCAAUAUACUGAUGUAGAAAAUCAAAUUUUGUGUCCUUCAGAAUCCAGCAUGCCCAUUCUCUCUCCAGUUUCCUUUUAACAGUACAGCAGCAGCAGCAGCAGCAACAGCAGCAUCUCUGAUUCAAGAAAGCAACCAUAGCAAUUUUCUCCAAAAGGGGCUUUGUGCAUAUUCUGUGCAAGCAGUGAAAAAGCAAAUAGCCUAGCACUGGAUACUGAAUCCAGUAUCCUUUAAAAAACCAGCUUCUGUAUAGAAGUCAUGACCCAGGCCUUGAUCUUCAAGCCAAACUACAGUAUGGACAAGGAGGAGCCAGAGAGUUGAACUAAAUAAGCACCAGCAAUGGACUCAAUCCCUGAAACAGAGUUUGAACUUGACAGUCAGGACAGGGGUAUCCAACCUGAUGCUUUCCAGUUGGUGCUGCAACGAAGCCCAUCAUCCCUGGUCCUUGGCCACGUUGGCUGGGACUGAUGGGAGUUGUAGUCCAACAACACCUGAAGGAUCCCACAUUGACUAUCCCUGAGCUAGGGCUAAGGUAAGAGUUUAAAUCAGGGGUCAGCAAACUUUUUCAGGAGGGGCCGGUCCACUGUCCCUUGGACCUUGUGGGGGGCCGGACUAUAUUUUGGGGAAAAAAUAAUGAAUGAAUUCCUGUGCCCCACAAAUAACCCAGAGAUGCAUUUUAAAUAAAAGCACACAUUCUACUCAUGUAAAAACAGAACGGACCUCCAGAACGAAUUAAGUUCUUAACCUGAGGUACCACUAUACUCAGUCUCCCACUAUUCUCCUGGACUAAAUGACCCGAAGUCAGGGUUCAGCAAACUUUUUCAGCAGGGGACCGGUCCACUGCCCCUCAGGCCUUGUGGGGGGCCGGACUGUAUUUU
rnacentral:lncRNA from 1 species